rnacentral:snRNA from 1 species
UCCUUUGCAGACGACUUAAAU